UCCGGGGUAGCUCAACGGCAGAGCGGCGGACUGUUAAUCCGUAGGUUGAGAGUUCGAAUCUCUCCCCCGGAGCCG
rnacentral:tRNA from 1 species